AACGAACGCUGGCGGCAGGCUUAACACAUGCAAGUCGAGCGCCCCGCAAGGGGAGCGGCAGACGGGUGAGUAACGCGUGGGAAUCUACCCAUCUCUACGGAACAACUCCGGGAAACUGGAGCUAAUACCGUAUACGUCCUUUGGAGAAAGAUUUAUCGGAGAUGGAUGAGCCCGCGUUGGAUUAGCUAGUUGGUGGGGUAAUGGCCUACCAAGGCGACGAUCCAUAGCUGGUCUGAGAGGAUGAUCAGCCACACUGGGACUGAGACACGGCCCAGACUCCUACGGGAGGCAGCAGUGGGGAAUAUUGGACAAUGGGCGAAAGCCUGAUCCAGCCAUGCCGCGUGAGUGAUGAAGGCCCUAGGGUUGUAAAGCUCUUUCAACGGUGAAGAUAAUGACGGUAACCGUAGAAGAAGCCCCGGCUAACUUCGUGCCAGCCGCCGCAGUAACAC
rnacentral:rRNA from 1 species